CCGGCCUCGGUAGCUAUGGAGCGCCCGGUGUGACUGGCCUUGGCGUGCCCGGGUCCCCUAGCUUCCUCAAUGGCUCCACUGCAACCUCACCUUUCGCCAUCAUGCCCUCUAGCCCCCCGCUGGCGGCUGCCUCCUCCAUGUCCCUUCCGGCCGCUGCCCCCACCACCAGCGUCUUCUCCUUCUCGCCUGUCAACAUGAUCUGCGCUGUCAAGCAGAGAAGCGCCUUCGCCCCUGUGCUGCGCCCACCCAGCUCCCCAUCGCAGGCCUGCCCCAGAGCCCACAGAGAGGGGCUUCCAGACCAGCCUUUUGAAGAUACUGACAAGUUCCACUCUGCAGCUCGGGGACUCCAGGGCCUGGCAUACUCCUAAUCAUGGUGCUGUCCCCAGUGAGUCUGGACUGG
rnacentral:lncRNA from 1 species